rnacentral:rRNA from 1 species
AUUUUAGCAUGCUAGUCGCACGGAGUUCAGACCCGUGGCAUAUAGCUCAGUAACACGUGGCCAAACUACCCUGUGGACGGAGAUAACCUCGGGAAACUGAGGCUAAUAUCCGAUACGACUCGCCAGCUGGAGUGCGGCGAGUCGGAAACGUUGCGGCGCCACAGGAUGUGGCUGCGGCCGAUUAGGUAGACGGUGGGGUAACGGCCCACCGUGCCCAUAAUCGGUACAGGUCAUGAGAGUGAGAGCCUGGAGACGGUAUCUGAGACAAGAUGCCGGGCCCUACGGGGCGCAGCAGGCGCGAAACCUUUACACUGCACGACAGUGCGAUAGGGGGACUCCGAGUGCGAAGGCAUAUAGUCCUCGCUUUUCUGUACCGUAAGGUGGUACAGGAAUAAGGGCUGGGCAAGACCGGUGCCAGCCGCCGCGGUAAUACCGGCAGCCUGAGUGAUGGCCGCUAUUAUUGGGCCUAAAGCGUCCGUAGCCGGCCAGACAAGUCCGUUGGGAAAUCCACGCGCUUAACGCGUGGACGUCCGGCGGAAACUGUCUGGCUUGGGGCCGGAAGAUCUGAGGGGUACGUCCGGGGUAGGAGUGAAAUCCCGUAAUCCUGGACGGACCGCCGGUGGCGAAAGCGCCUCAGAAAGACGGACCCGACGGUGAGGGACGAAAGCUAGGGUCUCGAACCGGAUUAGAUACCCGGGUAGUCCUAGCUGUAAACGAUGCUCGCUAGGUGUGCCGCAGGCUACGAGCCUGCGCUGUGCCGUAGGGAACCGUGAACGAGCCGCCUGGGAAGUACGUCUGCAAGGAUGAAACUUAAAGGAAUUGCG